UACGUAGGGUGCAAGCGUUGUCCGGAAUUAUUGGGCGUAAAGAGCUUGUAGGCGGUUUGUCGCGUCUGCUGUGAAAUUUCGGGGCUCAACCCCGAACUUGCAGUGGGUACGGGCAGACUAGAGUGUGGUAGGGGAGACUGGAAUUCCUGGUGUAGCGGUGAAAUGCGCAGAUAUCAGGAGGAACACCAAUGGCGAAGGCAGGUCUCUGGGCCAUAACUGACGCUGAGAAGCGAAAGCAUGGGGGAGCGAACAGG
rnacentral:rRNA from 1 species